rnacentral:miRNA from 1 species
UGGACAAGUGGAAAAGAAUGCC